rnacentral:rRNA from 1 species
GCGUCCGUACUGGCCGCGCAAGUCCAUCGGGAAAUCCACCUGCUCAACAGGUGGGCGCCCGGUAGAAACUGCGUGGCUUGGGACCGGAAGGCGCGACGGGUACGUCCGGGGUAGGAGUGAAAUCCCGUAAUCCUGGACGGACCGCCGAUGGCGAAAGCACGUCGCGAGAACGGAUCCGACAGUGAGGGACGAAAGCCAGGGUCUCGAACCGGAUUAGAUACCCGGGUAGUCCUGGCCGUAAACAAUGCCUGCUAGGUGUGGCUCCCACUACGAGUGGGUGCUGUGCCGUAGGGAAGCCGCUAAGCAGGCCGCCUGGGAAGUACGUCCGCAAGGAUGAAACUUAAAGGAAUUGGCGGGGGAGCACUACAACCGGAGGAGCCUGCGGUUUAAUUGGACUCAACGCCGGACAUCUCACCAGCAUCGACUGUAAUAAUGACGACCAGGUUGAUGACCUUGUCCGAGUUUCAGAGAGGAGGUGCAUGGCCGCCGUCAGCUCGUACCGUGAGGCGUCCUGUUAAGUCAGGCAACGAGCGAGACCCGCAUCCUUACUUGCCAGCAGUACCGCGAGGUAGCUGGGGACAGUAGGGAGACCGCCGUGGCUAACACGGAGGAAGGAACGGGCAACGGUAGGUCAGUAUGCCCCGAAUGUGCUGGGCAACACGCGGGCUACAAUGGUCGAGACAAAGGGUUCCAACUCCGAAAGGAGACGGUAAUCUCAGAAACUCGAUCGUAGUUCGGAUUGUGGGCUGCAACUCGCCCACAUGAAGCUGGAUUCGGUAGUAAUCGCGUGUCACAAGCGCGCGGUGAAUACGUCCCUGCUCCUUGCACACACCGCCCUGUCAAAGCACCCUGAGUGAGGUCCGGAUGAGGCGUCCA